rnacentral:rRNA from 1 species
CAGCCAUGCCGCGUGUGUGAAGAAGGUCUUUUGUUUGUAAAGCACUUUAAGCAGGGAGGAGGCUACUUUAGUUAAUACCCUAGAGAGACUGGACGUUACCUGCUAAUAAGCCCCGGCUAACUCUGUGCCAGCAGGCGCGGUAAUACAGAGGGUG